rnacentral:lncRNA from 1 species
UCUUGUAUAAUGUAUACCUUUUGGCUUCAUUUGAACUUCCCAUCUAAUCAACUUUAGGUUCAUCCCCUCUUUUUUCUCAUAGAAAUUUCUUCUUUUGGCUUCAUUUCAACUGCAAAUCUAUAACUGCAUCCCCUUUCUUCUCCUCUCUCCCUCUCUCUCAAUGAGACAAGGAAAAAAACAAAUGAUAAACAAUUCACACAACCCAGUAAAACAAAAAUGGCAGUAGUUGCUUUAUUAGAGACUCAGCUUUUUCUGAACUCUCUCCCUCAUAGGCUUCUCAAAACUUGCCUAUCAAACCUCCACAUAAAUUGGCAAGAUUGAGAAGAAGCCUAUGGUGAGAAAGUUCAAAAAAAGUUUGGUUCUCUGUUACCACAGUUGCCAAUAUUAACCACUGAGGUGGCCAAGUCUGCAAGGUUUUUGUCCACAUAAUUCAUUUUUCUUCAUAAUCAUCAUUAGUUUAAGAGUAGAUGAUAAGUGCAGUGCUUAAUAUUACUAAUCUUUUCUUUUUUCUGGGUUUUGCUUUUUCAUGCAGAUUUCUUUUCUCAGUUCUCAGGCAGCUGCUGAUUCUUGUUCCUCACCUCAGUUCAGAAACAGAAACAUCAUAUUCAAUGCCUGGAACCUUCUUCUUGAUGCUACUGUCUCCCAGCCUAGUAGGACAAACCAUGUACAGCUGUCUGAACUAAUUAACAUUUUAGCUGAUGCUGCUAAGCCAAAGCUUUUUUUUGCUGCAAGAUGUUAACCAAUUAACUGCUACAAUUGUCUGUUUAUAAGGCAAGGGAUCUGCUAAAGGCAACCAAAAGAAG